rnacentral:rRNA from 1 species
UACGUAGGUGGCAAGCGUUGUCCGGAUUUAUUGGGCGUAAAGGGAGCGCAGGUGGUUUCUUAAGUCUGAUGUGAAAGCCCACGGCUUAACCGUGGAGGGUCAUUGGAAACUGGGAAACUUGAGUACAGAAGAGGAAUGUGGAACUCCAUGUGUAGCGGUGGAAUGCGUAGAUAUAUGGAAGAACACCAGUGGCGAAGGCGACAUUCUGGUCUGUUACUGACACUGAGGCU